AUGAUAUGAGCCUUAAUAAAGGAACCGAAAUCUGACCAAAAGCAAACUGAAUGAGGUCAACUCCAAAAUAAAUGGUAAAAUGUUUCAUCGUGUAGAUCACAAAAUGUACACAAUGUAUCAAUUUCACAAUUAAAUCUGUUCACUAGAAAAUAAUUACAUGGGUAAUAAUUAUAAAUAAGUUUAAGCGAGAUUUCUUUGAUUUUAUGAGUAAUUAAAUAUUAACUUUUAAAUUUGUCUCUGAUUAUGUAUAUGUAUUUUUAUUUCUGUUUAUUUGCUUUACUUUUUGUACCCCCUGACCGCAGUUGUAAUUCCUAAAAGUAAAAAAAAAAAACACUAUCACCGGUGGAGUUUGAACUUGCCACAGAUCUAUUGCAUACUGCGCCCUGGCGGUCAGAUCGUGUUAUUGCCGUGAACAGCACACAGCUGUUGGUGACAUAGCAGGCGGAUAGAGAAGACUGAACCGAUGCUGUUACUCCAAACAGGACGUUACAGAGAAAAAGCUGUCCCCAGCCCAGCCUGCUGUCCGAAGUCCAGCCACCUAUCUACCAGCUGGCCUUCAGUGCCACUAAAGCCUCUGGUUUUAGGGUAUGAGGCAUAAAGGCAUCAGCGCAAAAGCCUAAUCACGUUAACAUCCACAACCAGACACUCCGCUCAUUUGACUAAUCAAAGAGAACGGCUCGUUCAGAAAGAUGAGAGCACUGUACGAGUUUUGCAGCAUGGACAGCAUUCCAACAUUAACACUUAUCAGAACUUUUCAGCAGUAGCCAUUUCUGCACAGAGCGAAGAUUGGCCCUCUCCUGGUGGUGAACGAUGUCUAUAAUGUUAAGCACAACAAAUGACAAAACCAUCCAGGCGCGCAAAUCAGUGCAGGGGUCAGGGAAGGUAAGGAAAAAGAGGCCCCCGUGACAUAUCUACUGUGGGAAACGGGCUGCAGAGAUAACCAAGCUUUAGUGUUUCAUCUCUGCUUCGUCCCAUACACAUUAUCACUGACCUCUCACCCUGCAAUAAGAAAGGCUAUGUAACCCAGAGUAAAACGCAGCCGUAAAUCUCUAUUCAGAGCUG